rnacentral:rRNA from 1 species
AUUGAACGCUGGCGGCAUGCCUUACACAUGCAAGUCGAACGGCAGCACGGGGCAACCUGGUGGCGAGUGGCGAACGGGUGAGUAAUGCAUCGGAACGUGCCAUUGAGUGGGGGAUAACGUAGCGAAAGUUACGCUAAUACCGCAUAUUCUGUGAGCAGGAAAGCAGGGGAUCGCAAGACCUUGCGCUCUGGGAGCGGCCGAUGUCGGAUUAGCUAGUUGGUGGGGUAAAGGCUCACCAAGGCGACGAUCAGUAGCGGGUCUGAGAGGAUGAUCCGCCACACUGGGACUGAGACACGGCCCAGACUCCUACGGGAGGCAGCAGUGGGGAAUUUUGGACAAUGGGCGAAAGCCUGAUCCAGCCAUGCCGCGUGUCUGAAGAAGGCCUUCGGGUUGUAAAGGACGUUUUAGUUCUAGGGAGCGAAAACUUAACUAGGUUAAUACCCGGUGAGGCGUGAGAGUACCUGAAGAAUAAGACACCGGCUAACUACGUAGCCAGCAGCCGCGGUAA